CCUACGGGGUGCUGCAGUGGGGAAUAUUGGACAAUGGGCGAAAGCCUGAUCCAGCCAUGCCGCGUGUGUGAAGAAGGCCUUCGGGUUGUAAAGCACUUUCAGUGGGGAAGAAAGCCUUGGGGCUAAUACCCUCGAGGAAGGACAUCACCCACAGAAGAAGCACCGGCUAACUCCGUGCCAGCAGCCGCGGUAAUACGGAGGGUGCGAGCGUUAAUCGGAAUUACUGGGCGUAAAGCGCGCGUAGGCGGUCUGAUAAGCCGGUUGUGAAAGCCCCGGGCUCAACCUGGGAACGGCAUCCGGAACUGUCAGGCUAGAGUGCAGGAGAGGAAGGUAGAAUUCCCGGUGUAGCGGUGAAAUGCGUAGAGAUCGGGAGGAAUACCAGUGGCGAAGGCGGCCUUCUGGACUGACACUGACGCUGAGGUGCGAAAGCGUGGGUAGCAAACAGGAUUAGAUACCCUAGUAUC
rnacentral:rRNA from 1 species